rnacentral:lncRNA from 1 species
UAGAAAUUUCCCCCACAAUAACACCCUCUGUCUUAGUUACAUUUCCUGUCACUUUGAUAAAAUACUUUGGCAAAAGCAAUUUAAGGGAGGAGAGGGUUUGUUCUGUUGAAGUUGCAGGGUACAGAACCUCAUGGAGGGAGCUGGUGGGGGCGGGGCAGCUGGCCAUAUUACACUCACAGUCAGGGAGCAGGGACAAUGACUGCGGCUGCUGCGAUUUCUUUCCAACGGAGUCCCAGACGCCAGCCCUGAGAGUGUUCUAUCCCGAUUAGGGCAGGUCUUCCUAAUUUAGUUAAGGCACUUUUGGGCAUGCAUGCCCUGUGGUUUAUCUUUGUUGAUUCUAGGUCCUGUCAAGUUGACAGUCAAUGUUAAUCAUGACAUCAGCAUUGGUUUUCUCUUUGCUCUCAGGCAUCCAGCUGCCUGUCAUUCCUAAUCUCUGUGGUUAUAUGAAUUGUUAAUGGCCCCAAGUGGACGCCCUGGGCCAUGGUGUGGAAGUGUGGGUGUGAGAACUUCUAACUUCUUUCCCUCGGCCAUGCAGAUGCUCUGUGUUGCCAUGGAAGAGUCACCAGAUGAAAACAGCCAACUUUGUGCCAUUUCAAGAUGAACAGCAAACCUGGAGCAGGCAUAGUUUGGUGCCAUAGAAGAGAAGUACUGUCUCGUUUGCUCCAUCAACAAUGAGAUGAACUCAAAAGGUUCUGAUGUUCUAGGAUUCUGCUCCAAUUGUGCGUCCUGCUGGAGAUGAGGCUGCUUUUGGAUCAUGUAGGUAGGUGGAUGAGUAAUUGAGAAAAACACAAAA